ACGGAGGGUGCAAGCGUUGUCCGGAAUCACUGGGCGUAAAGGGCGCGUAGGCGGCCACCGCAAGUCGACUGUGAAAUCUCCGGGCUUAACUCGGAAAGGUCAGCCGAUACUGCGGGGCUAGAGUGCAGAAGGGGCAACUGGAAUUCUCGGUGUAGCGGUGAAAUGCGUAGAUAUCGAGAGGAACACCUGCGGCGAAGGCGGGUUGCUGGGCUGACACUGACGCUGAUUGUGCGAAAGCUAGGGGAGCGAACGGGA
rnacentral:rRNA from 1 species